rnacentral:rRNA from 1 species
UACGGGAGGCAGCAGUGGGGAAUAUUGCACAAUGGGCGCAAGCCUGAUGCAGCCAUGCCGCGUGUAUGAAGAAGGCCUUCGGGUUGUAAAGUACUUUCAGUCGUGAGGAAGGUGUUAAGGUUAAUAACCUUAGCAAUUGACGUUAGCGACAGAAGAAGCACCGGCUAACUCCGUGCCAGCAGCCGCGGUAAUACGGAGGGUGCGAGCGUUAAUCGGAAUUACUGGGCGUAAAGGGCACGCAGGCGGUUAAUUAAGUUGGAUGUGAAUCCCCGGGCUUAACCUGGGAAUGGCAUUCAAGACUGGUUAGCUAGAGUCUUGUAGAGGGGGUAGAAUUCCAUGUGUAGCGGUGAAAUGCGUAGAGAUGUGGAGGAAUACCGGUGGCGAAGGCGGCCCCUGGGACAAAGGACUGACGCUCAUGUGCGAAAGCGUGGGGAGCGAAACAGGGAUUAGAUACC